CCGUUCCCCUCUCUCCCACAAAUCUCUCCCGUAUCUCAACCCCCUUUCCCCUAUAUUAAAUCCUUAACCAGUUACUUCUUUUUCCUCACCUAUCGUCUCUGUAAGCAAGAAAGCAAGAACCAUUGUUCAACUUCUACUCAAGAAAUCGAAAUCCUUUCAGCUUCAAGAACCUGCCUUUUUAGCUUUGUGAACUUCACAACCCAAAUUCAAUUCACAGAGGUUGAGCGGCGACGAGGAUGUGGUGGUGUUGAGCAAGUGAAUUUAAGAUAUUAUGGUUGUUUUUGAACCUUGGGUGUCGUUGUGUCUUCACACAUGACGUCACUCUUUCUCUUGGUCGUUUCCGCUGUGACUUUUCGUUUAUUCAUGUUUUAUUUGGGCCGACAACUUUAAUUGUUAGGAUAAUGGAUAUUCCGAAUUUCUUGUUGGAUAAUAUUAAACU